GGUUCGCGUCCGCGAACUCCCGUCUCUUCGCUGUCACUCCGCACGGGGACUUCACGUGCGCCGAGGCCGCCUCGGAGGCGGGGUCUGGUUGGGUCGCUUUUUCGAGGGCGCCGGGGAAAACACUUCUUUCCCACAUCAGAUGUUUCUUGAAGUAUGGAGUGGGUGCCACUACCAUAACUCUCAAUACUCUAUUCCAGUGCUCCUAGCAAGUUUCCUGAUGUGCAUUCUGGGAACAAAAUCUACACUUUACCAGUGACUCCAGGAGAUCCCACAAAAGAGGUGAACAUUGUAUUGGAGAAGUGACCUUAUGAAGGUAGGAGCAGAAGGUGGGAGCAGGACUGCCCUGACUGCUGACUUCUUAUCCAAGGAGGAUAAUCAUAUCCCAAGUUGAUCUCAGUGGGUAAGCUGAAGGGGUUAAGGCAAUGGUCUUCAUACAUUUUGCUGACAUAACCCCCAAAUAAUUUUUAAGUUGACAUGUAAAAUUUUUUUGUCCUAAGUUUAGUUGCAAAAGAUGUAAUUUCUGGUUAAA